UGCUUCAUGAGCAGGGAAUAGAGAAGAGAUCUCAUCAAAAUCAUUAAAGACUUAAAGACUUUGGUAUAUAUUUUGCAUGUGGGAGAAAUAUCACCUUAUAGGCUUCUCAUAUUAACUCAAAACCAAUCAUUAUCUCCCCACCACAUUUAUACCUUUGACCUCUCACAUGCUUCCUCUUUAAUUAUUCUUCCAAGUUAACAUUUUCACCAAACGCAAACGCAACCACAACUUUAACCGCUCUC